rnacentral:lncRNA from 1 species
AAAUACAGAGAAAGUCAUGUUCAGUUUAUUUCUUUGAAUUUUUGGGAGAGAGUAAUAAAGUGGUUUUUUCUGUUGUGAGUAAUUAUCCAUACUGAAUAAAAAUUGAAGAAGUCCCAUAACGUUUGAGAGAGCGUUUGCUGCAUCCUGAUUGGUCCCCUCCUUUAUUUUUCAUUUUUUUUUAUUUUAGAGAUAUGGGGCUAAUACCAAUGUACCACACGUGUAGGAGUUUGUUGGAGAGCACUACGUUUUUCC